rnacentral:rRNA from 1 species
GACGAACGCUGGCGGCGUGCUUAACACAUGCAAGUCGAACGAAGUGGCGCACGGGUGAGUAACGCGUAAUCCACCUGCCCUUCAGAGGGGGACAACAGUUGGAAACGACUGCUAAUACCUCAUACUGAAGGAGGGGAUUGCGUCUGUUUAGCUAGUUGGAGGGGUAACGGCCCACCAAGGCGAUGAUCAGUAGCCGGGCUGAGAGGAUGAACGGCCACAUUGGGACUGGGACACGGCCCAGACUCCUUCGGGAGGCAGCAGUGGGGAAUCUUCCGAAAUGGACGAAAGUCUGGCGGAGCAACGCCGCGUGAGUGAUGACGGCCUUCGGGUUGUAAAGCUCUUUUAAUCGGGACGCGGUACCGGAAUAGAAAGCCACGGCUAACUACGUGCCAGCAGCCGCGGUAAUUC